CAGGCACUAUCGCCUGCCUGACACUGUGCUGUGCAGCCCAGUGGGGAGACCAGCAAGGAGAUGGAUUGAGGGAGUUAGCAGGCACAGUAGUGCUGUGCAUUUGUUAAAGAAUGUGGGCGUGGUUGGCUAGGUCUUGGGGCCUGGCCAGCUAGGACCCAUGGGCGUGGUCAACUAGGAUGGGGGUGUGGUCAGUUAGGUGUGUGAUCCUGGUCAGCCAGGCUCUAAGGAAUAGUCCUUUAGAUCUGCUAAGUCCAUUGACUCUGGAGUCCCCUGGAAGAGUGGCUAACCCAGCUGUGACUCCCCAGCCAGGGGAGAACUGCCUAGAACCAGGACCAGAGCAGCCUCUAUGGGGUCACACUCACCACGCAGUGAUGACGAAGCUUCCUGAGGAUGGUGCAAGGAGCUCAUAUUCUGGAAAAUUCAUCUGGGGCAGCACUGGGGACAUGAGAGACACUGUGGGCCACUAGAGCUGGCUUGGCCUUAAUUUGGUCCCCUACCGACAGAGGACCUUGUGCUUUUGAGGCAGGCCAGGUGCCACUGAGCUACAUCCCCGCCCCCCUUCCUUUCUUGACCCCUUCAAGCAGAGGAAGAAGAGGAGCUUGUUGUCGAGAGAGGCCCAGGUGAUUGAGCUGUGACAAGUGGCAGAGACAGGAGAGGCCCAGCUGUCUGGACAGUUGCCCACAUUCCAAUCUCAGGAUGCUUUGACUGCAAAGCUAGGAACCAGUAAAUCCAACAGCACCUGGCCUGGUGGCCAUGCUGGUGCUGUUCCUGCACUUGGCCCUGCAAUGGCUCAAAGGAACGGGACCCAAAAGAGACACGGCUUGCUUAACACCCCAUCUUAGCAACAUCAUGCAGCUCUUUCUGCAGUCACUGGCCUUUCCUCCUUAGCUGCCAGAACCCCACAUUGCAGAGGAAGCCUGUGCACAGUGAAGGGGAUGUGGAACCUGGGAGCCAGUCCCCAGCACUGUCACUGGGCCAUAGCUGCUGAGAGGAAAGGGCAGCCUGGCCAGAGUAAGCACAGUGGCCAUUGGGAGCCAUGGGCCUGGCCUGCGGCUCUGCAACUCUUCAAAUUAAGGAACCAACAAAGCAUCAGGUGAGAAAGCAGAUGCCAUGCCUGUGCAGAGCUCUACAAGGCAAGCGGUUGUUGUCAUUCUCAUGCCAUGGUGCCGUGCAGAUGUUGCAUGUGCAUGGUACAUGCAUGGAAGCCGUGAUUGGCAGGGGCCCAGAAAACCUGCAUCAUCUAUUCUUGUCCUUGGUCUGAGGCGCCUCUCACCUGUCUUACCAAUCUCACAUUUCUGGGGCUUCACUAUGGAAGCCUCUUCUGCUAUGCAGAAAUCCGGGUGUCUGUGGGGGCUGGUUCUCCUCAGAUGGGUGCCCUCCUUGUGCGUGACAACAGAUGAGCUAUAUUUCAAAACAAAGUGCUGUGUUAUAAUCAUCUGCCUGAAUUCCCAGGGUAUCUUUUACCUGACUUGAUAACAAUGUUCUUCAUUAGCAGCGUUUGUUAACUGAUAACCUGAAGCAGUAACUUGGUAUUCAUAAGCAAUUUUCUGUAUGUAAGAUAGAAUAAACCAUCUUGUAAGGGAUCUGUUAAUUGAUUUGCUUCUUUUAGCAGCAUUUUAAUUAAGGCAUCUGGUUUUGGAGGGCAGAAAUAGUUGUGAGCAGAAGGGAAAGGCUCUGGAUUCUCAGUCCAUGAAAAUGUCCUGUGCACUGAGCAGAGAAACACAGUCAUGUGUCACUCGGUGACAAGGACAUGUCCAGGAAGUGUGCAUUUGGGGUUCAUCACUAUGUGGAUGCGGCAGAUGCCCGCACAGGGACUGCGAUGGUUGUGGCAUUACUAUGAUACCAUGCAUAUGGUCCAUCACUGAUGGAAAUAGCGCUAUUCUGGGCAUGUCUGCAGGCUGAAGACCAGUGACCUCCCUCAGAUGGUAGGGACUAACGUCAUUUAGGAGGCAGUGUGGG
rnacentral:lncRNA from 1 species